rnacentral:rRNA from 1 species
CCUACGGGCGGCAGCAGUGAGGAAUAUUGGUCAAUGGACGAGAGUCUGAACCAGCCAAGUAGCGUGAAGGAUGACUGCCCUAUGGGUUGUAAACUUCUUUUAUAUGGGAAUAAAAUGUUCCACGUGUGGGAUUUUGUAUGUACCAUAUGAAUAAGGAUCGGCUCACUCCGUGCCAGCAGCCGCGGUAAUACGGAGGAUCCGAGCGUUAUCCGGAUUUAUUGGGUUUAAAGGGAGCGUAGGUGGAUUGUUAAGUAAGUUGUGAAAGUUUGCGGCUCAACCGUAAAAUUGCAGUUGAAACUGGCAGUCUUGAGUACAGUAGAGGUGGGCGGAAUUCGUGGUGUAGCGGUGAAAUGCUUAGAUAUCACGAAGAACUCCGAUUGCGAAGGCAGUUCACUGGACUGCAACUGACACUGAGGCUCGAAAGUGUGGGUAUCAAACAGGAUUAGAUACCCUUGUAGUC